AUGCACGUGUUUUAUUUAUUUGAAUGGGACAGAAAUCAGGGUGAGUGUGUGUGUGUCUGACAGUUAUAGUAUAUGUGUGUGUGUGUGCGUGUGUAGGUGUGUGAAUUGAUGGGUGUGCAGGUGUGUGUGUCUGACAGAUAUAGUGUGUGUAUGUGUGCCUGUGUGUGUGUGUGUGUGUCUGACAGAGACAGACA